rnacentral:rRNA from 1 species
UACGUAGGGGGCUAGCGUUAUCCAGAAUUACUGGGUGUAAAGCGCGUGUAGGCGGCAUACCAAGUCUGUUGUGAAAUCGCCCGGCUCAACUGGGCGGGGUCAAUGGAAACUGGUAAGCUGGAGGACGGUAGAGGCGAGUGGAAUUCCCGGUGUAGUGGUGAAAUGCGUAGAGAUCGGGAGGAACACCUGUGGCGAAGGCGGCUCGCUGGGCCGAUCCUGACGCUGAGACGCGAAGGCGUGGGGAGCGAACGGG